rnacentral:rRNA from 1 species
GACGAACGCUGGCGGCGUGCUUAACACAUGCAAGUCGAGCGAUGAAGCACCUUCGGGUGUGGAUUAGCGGCGAACGGGUGAGGAACACGUGAAGAAUCUGCCUUCAACUCUGGGAUAACUCCGGGAAACCGGGGCUAAUACCGGAUAUGAGCCUUGGCCGCAUGGCCGGGGCUGGAAAGUUUUUCGGUUGAAGAUGACUUCGCGGCCUAUCAGCUUGUUGGUGAGGUAACGGCUCACCAAGGCGACGACG